rnacentral:rRNA from 1 species
CCUACGGGGGGCAGCAGUGGGGAAUAUUGGACAAUGGGGGCAACCCUGAUCCAGCCAUGCCGCGUGUGUGAAGAAGGCCCUCGGGUUGUAAAGCACUUUCAGUGAGGAAGAACGCCUGGUGGUUAAUACCCAUCAGGAAAGACAUCACUCACAGAAGAAGCACCGGCUAACUCCGUGCCAGCAGCCGCGGUAAUACGGAGGGUGCGAGCGUUAAUCGGAAUUACUGGGCGUAAAGCGCGCGUAGGUGGCUUGAUAAGCCGGUUGUGAAAGCCCCGGGCUCAACCUGGGAACGGCAUCCGGAACUGUCAAGCUAGAGUGCAGGAGAGGAAGGUAGAAUUCCCGGUGUAGCGGUGAAAUGCGUAGAGAUCGGGAGGAAUACCAGUGGCGAAGGCGGCCUUCUGGACUGACACUGACACUGAGGUGCGAAAGCGUGGGUAGCAAACAGGAUUAAAUACCCCAGUAGUC